GAUGAACGCUGGCGGCGUGCCUAACACAUGCAAGUCGAACGAAGCACCUUACCUGAUUCUUCGGAUGAAAGUUUGGUGACUGAGUGGCGGACGGGUGAGUAACGCGUGGGUAACCUGCCCUGUACAGGGGGAUAACAGCUGGAAACGGCUGCUAAUACCGCAUAAGCGCACGAGGAGACAUCUCCUUGUGUGAAAAACUCCGGUGGUACAGGAUGGGCCCGCGUCUGAUUAGCUGGUUGGCAGGGUAACGGCCUACCAAGGCAACGAUCAGUAGCCGGUCGCAGAGGAUGAACCGCCACAUUUGAACUGGGCCACGGUCCGGACUCCUACGCGAGGCAGCAGUGGGGAAUAUUGCACAAUGGCGGAAACCCUGAUGCAGCAACGCCGCUUGAGUUAAGAAGUAUUUCGGUAUGUAAUGCUCUAUCAGCAGUGAAGAUAAUGACGGUACCUGACUAAGAAGCUCCGGCUAAAUACGUG
rnacentral:rRNA from 1 species